AUUGAACGCUGGCGGCAGGCCUAACACAUGCAAGUCGAGCGGAUGAAGGGAGCUUGCUCCUGGAUUCAGCGGCGGACGGGUGAGUAAUGCCUAGGAAUCUGCCUGGUAGUGGGGGAUAACGUCCGGAAACGGGCGCUAAUACUGCCUACGUCCUGAGGGAGAAAGUGGGGGAUCUUCGGACCUCACGCUAUCAGAUGAGCCUAGGUCGGAUUAGCUAGUUGGUGGGGUAAAGGCCUACCAAGGCGACGAUCCGUAACUGGUCUGAGAGGAUGAUCAGUCACACUGGAACUGAGACACGGUCCAGACUCCUACGGGAGGCAGCAGUGGGGAAUAUUGGACAAUGGGCGAAAGCCUGAUCCAGCCAUGCCGCGUGUGUGAAGAAGGUCUUCGGAUUGUAAAGCACUUUAAGUUGGGAGGAAGGGCAGUAAGUUAAUACCUUGCUGUUUUGACGUUACCAACAGAAUAAGCACCGGCUAACUUCGUG
rnacentral:rRNA from 1 species